AACUGCCUCGGCCUACCUAAGUGCUGGGAUUCCAGGCAUGAGCCACAGCUCCUGGCCUAUUUUCCUAUCCUGUCCUCUCAUCUUACCUAUUCCUUGGAGUCCUAAAAUGUGUAUAUUAUAUUUGACAUCUCUUUGCCUUCUUUGAGAGGGUGUCAUGCUGUUUGUACUCUUUUGGGACUUACUUUUCUCACUUAGUAGUAAGUUGAUAAGCAUUGUCCAUAUUGCUAGGGUGGCCGUAAUUCCUCUCUUUGGACGCUGUCUGAUACUCCAUGGUGUGAACACACCUGUUUAUCCAUUCUUCUGUUGGUGGGCGUUUGAACAGUCCUGCUGUGAAUAUUUUUGUGUAAGAGUUUUCUGAAGUGUAUACCUACGAGUGGAAUUGCUGGGUGGUGGUGUACAGGAAUGUACCCCUGGGGGUUGUUCAGCUAUUUUCCUGAGUGGGUGACUCAUUUACACUCCCACGGCCAACAGGUAGACAACCUACACACCCACCUCUUCCCCAGCACACAGCAUCAUCAGCCUUCUCCAUUUGUGCCACUAUAGUGAGGAUAAAGUGGCAUCUAACUGUGUCCUCUUCCACUCCCAGCACAUCUGUGCUGCAAGACCCAGUUCAUGAAUGACCUUGCCCAAGAAGCCCUCGGUGACCAGCACACCUGUUGCCACUCACUGUUGGAUGUUUUCUGCUACCUCCCCAUGGGGUUCUUCACUUCUUAACAUCACAGGACAUCACAUUUUUUUUUCUAACUCUACCAUUGGAUGCAAGCACAGUGUGUUGUACAUAGUAGAUCCUCCAAUCUAUCAUUGCUGUUUGAAUAAGGCAGAAUUCUUGUUUAUACAGAUCAAGGAAGUCACUCGCCAUCUGUGAGGGAGGCAGCGGAGCCCCAGAGGCACUGGGGAGAGGCAGCUGGGCCUCGAGCUUGUGGUUGCAGAUUGGAGCUGGCCAGGGCAGAGAUGCUGUGCUGAGAUGGAAGCGGUGGCAGCUGAAACCUGGAUAAUUAGAGCCGGCCGAACACCUUUUGACAAGGAUCAUAAAGACUUUUGCAAACAUUAAUUAAUGUCCCCACCCGGUGAAGAAAGAGCAACUUAUUUUCCAAGUGCAUCAAGGGAAGGCCUAGGCAAUAAGGUCCUGAUGGAUUUUCAACAAUAAGCUGAAAGGCUCUUUCAGAUUCCAAUUUCUUAGUGAGAAAAAAAGCCAAAGCCAAACAAUUCCUAAAAUGGCAAAAACCAGUUCUCCCAGUGCCCCAGCGGGCCUGCUGGGCCGUUCACCUUUGCUUUCAAACAUCCAGUUCCGAGGCAGACGCGAAACCCUGCACCCUCCAGCUUGGCUCCCUCAGGCCUGGACCCCCCCUGACACCCACAUGAAAGAGGAAAAGAGGCGCUUCCCCAUCUCUGCACAGCUCACCAUCAGAGAUCCGAGCUGCUCGGCCCUCUCCCCUCACCCUGGGCUCCCCUUUUUGCCCUGUUCCAAAGCUUCCCGCCUUCGAUCUCAUAAGGCGGCCACCUGGCCCCUCAGCCCCAUGUGUGGCUUUGACCUUCACUCGCUCCUUGGUCACAGUCCCAGGCUCCAUCUGGUUUGAGCUGACCUGUGUGAAUGCCCCACCCAGCGAGUGGCUCGCCCAGUCAUGUGUCACCCCAUGCCUGCCUGCUGGGCAAGUGAUACCAGCUCAAACGCGGGCAGACCUGUCUGCUUUUCUUGUGGUUCUCUCUGCUCAGCACUGGCCUGCUUCCUGUGGGCAGCAUCACUCUCCUUCAUGAGUGCCCAUCCCUGGGCUGCUCUCACUGGACGAUAGAGUGCAGGCUUCUGCUGUAACCACUGAAUUCCACCUCCGUUUCCAACCGGCCGUGUUGACUAUUCCCAGAAGUUUCCCCAAAUGAACUCUGACCGCAUCAAAGGGAGUUUACAAAACAGGGUCAAAGCUUCAUACGCCUUGGGUCUUUCUUGUCACACUCAACUAAAACAGAGUCCAGAGGUUGCGGGUAAAGCGCUUGAGGCACAAGACGUUCCUUCAAGCAUACGAUUCUCUGCAGACCUGGCUGCUGGAACUGCCAGGUGUAACCUGAAACCAGUUUUAUCUAACAGCCACUGGAACAACCUGCUGAAAUCUAACACCAUCACCCACAAAUCAGUGUUCGCCAGCAUCCCCAAAACCUUACUAGUGCCAAGGAACUUUAUUUCAAAACAAUACACAGCAUUUCUCCUCUUCAUAAAACCUCCAAACUUCUCUGUUCUUUGGACAUACGAGAGGCCACCGUUCUGUGUCUAUCCCCCGAACUGCAGUUGUU
rnacentral:lncRNA from 1 species